rnacentral:lncRNA from 1 species
AUGAAGGUCAGAGUGAACUGAUUUGGCAGUACUGGGUGCCUGCUCUUCGAUUAUGGCAACGUGGAUGCUACUGCCAUCAAUGGCCCCUUCACUGGCCUCACUCACUACAAGGUCUACAUACACAUUCCACUAUGAUCUUAUCCACAGACAGUCUCAGUCAAAGCUGAGAAAGGGAAACUUAAUCAAUGGGAAGCCUAUCUUCAUCUUUCCAGAACAAGAUCCCACCAACGUCAAAUGAGGUGAUACUGGUGCCAAAUAUGCUGGAGUCUACUGAUGCCUUCCCCACCAUGAAGAAGAUCGGAGCCUAAGUGCCCUCAGUCUCUUCCCCUUCAGCUGCUUCCUCCAUGUUUGUGAUAGGCUUGAACUAAACAAAGUACUGACAACUCAUUCAAAAUCGCCAGCAAUGCCUCCUGUCCUACCAACUGCUCAGUAACCCCUAACCAAGGUUACCCACGACAACUUUGUGGAAGGACUCGUGACCACAGUCCAUGCCAUCGCCACUUCCCUGAAGACUGUAGAUGGCCCUAUGGAAAACUGUGGUGAUGGCCAUCAUCCCUGUACCCACAGGAACUCCUGAGACUGUGGGCAAGAUCAUCCCAGAACUGACUGAGCUCGCUGCUGUGGCUUUCUGGGUUCUUACUGCUAAUAUGUCUGUUGAGGAUCUGACCUACAGAUUUGAGAAGGCUGCCAGGCGCAAAGAAAAAAAAAAGAAGGUGGUAAAGCAAGCAUCAGAGGGCUCACUGAGGGCACCCUGGGCUAGCUAUUCUGAGAACCAGGUUGCUUCCUGUGACUUUAACUGUGACACCCAUUCCUUCAUCUUUGAGGCUGGUGCGUGCUAGCAUUGCCCUCAAUGACCACUUUAUCAAACUCUUCCCUGGUAUGGUAUAACAACAAAUUUGGCUACAAUGACAGGACAGUGGACCUCAUGGUCCUUGUAGCCUCCAAGGAGUAA